rnacentral:rRNA from 1 species
GAUGAACGCUGGCGGCGUGCCUAAUACAUGCAAGUCGUACGGAAAGGCCCUUCGGGGUACUCGAGUGGCGGACGGCUGAGUAACGCGUGGGAAUGUGCCCCAAAGUGAGGGAUAACGCACCGAAAGGUGUGCUAAUACCGCAUAUGGUCUUCGGAUUAAAGCUUCGGCGCUUUGGGAGCGGCGCGCGUACGAGUAGAUAGUUGGUGAGGUAAUGGCUCACCAAGUCGACGAUAGUUAGCUGGUCUGAGAGGAUGAUCAGCCAGACUGGGACUGAGACACGGCCCAGACUCCUACGGGAGGCAGCAGUAAGGAAUCUUCCACAAUGGGGGCAACCCUGAUGGAGCAACGCCGCGUGCAGGAUGAAGGUUUUCGGAUCGUAAACUGCUUUUAUAAGUGAAGAAUAUGACGGUAACUUAUGAAUAAGGAUCGGCUAACUACGUGCCAGCAGCCGCCGCGG